AAUAUUGGACAAUGGGCGAAAGCCUGAUCCAGCCAUGCCGCGUGUGUGAAGAAGGUCUUCGGAUUGUAAAGCACUGUUGUAAGGGAAGAACCGUACCAGUAGGGAAUGACUGGUACCUGACGGUACCUUACCAGCAAGCCACGGCUAACUACGUGCCAGCAGCCGCGGUAAUACGUAGGUGGCAAGCGUUAUCCGGAAUUAUUGGGCGUAAAGGGAGCGCAGGCGGCUUAUUAAGUCUGACGUGAAAUCCCACAGCUUAACUGUGGAGGGUCGUUGGAAACUGGUAGGCUUGAGUACAGUAGAGGUAAGUGGAAUUCCAAGUGGAGCGGUGGAAUGCGUAGAUAUUUGGAGGAACACCAGUGGCGAAGGCGGCUUACUGGGCUGGAACUGACGCUGAUGCACGAAAGCGUGGGGAGCAAA
rnacentral:rRNA from 1 species